CACGCAGGCGGUUAUGCAAGUCUGAUGUGAAAUCUCCGGGCUCAACUCGGAAUCCGCGUUGGAAACUGCAUGACUAGAGUAUUAGAGGGGGAGUCGGAAUUCCUAGUGUAGGGGUGAAAUCUGUUGAUAUUAGGAAGAACACCGGUGGCGAAGGCGGACUCCUGGCUGAAUACUGACGCUGAGGUGCGAAAGCAUAGGGAGCAAACAGGAUUAGAUACCCCGGUAGUCUAUGCUGUAAACGAUGUGCACUUGGUGUUGGGCCGAUUAGGUUCAGUGCCGAAGCUAACGCGAUAAGUGCACCGCCUGGGGAGUAUGCCCGCAAAGGGUGAA
rnacentral:rRNA from 1 species